rnacentral:rRNA from 1 species
AUGGAUAGCUUAUUUGCUUCAUUGUACAUACUUUGUAGUUUCAAUGAUGAGGCAUAUAUGUCAACUAUGGGUGUUGGCUCCAACAAUUCUCAUCGGUCUCAAACUAAUGGGAUGCAUUUCGAUGAUCAUGAGUUUGAGGUGGACGAGGAUGGUGAGGGCAUCGUCGAUGCACCGAAAGGAAGAAGGGGCAACUACACCUUGGACGAAGACAUCUUGCUAUGCAAUACUUGGUUGCAAGUGUCGAGGGAUCCCACCGUUGGAGGGGAUCAAAGUAGAGAUGCAUUUUGGCUCCGGAUGAAGGAGCACUUUGAUCUACACAAGAAAAGUGGAAUUGACUGCUCCAGAAGAUCACUUCGCUCCCGCUGGUCGACAAUCAACUGA